GCGCAUGUAGUUCAGUGGUAGAACGCUGUCCUGAUAAGACAGAGGUCGGAGGUUCGAUCCCUCCCAUGCGCA
rnacentral:tRNA from 1 species